ensembl:lncRNA
GACUUCAAGAUGGCUAUACAUGCUUUUUACUCCUUCUUUUGGAUUUGAGCUUGUUCUAUCACUUGCUUUGACUAGUAGAAUGUGGUGUAAGCAAUGUUGUGUAAUUUUCGAGCUUGGGCCUUAAGGGAGCUACAGCUUUGGUUUUUGCCACUUAAAAUUGUUCUUCUUAGCAAGCCAGCCACCAUGUUAGAAGCUGAUCUACCCUAAGCCCACAGUCCGGUGAAGAAGCCGAAGCUAGCCACACAGAGCAGCAACGUGAGAGGACCGCUGAGGACACUUACUAGCAGUGAACUCUAUAAUAAGCAGAGCCUGUGAGCUUAUCUAUGAAGGCUACAAGGAAAGAGGGAGGUGAUUAGCAUCAAAAUAUUAAAAACAGCUGUUGAGUUCCCAGUGGCGGUUAGCAAAGAAGAGUGUGUUUCACAUCGGUUCAGAAGUGCUCAUCUGGCCGCGGCCAUUCCUUUAUGAAGAAGCCCUCCUGGCAAAGUUGAACAGCUGACAUAGUCAAACUCAAGAUGGC